AGCAUGGUAUAGUGGUUUGACUGUUGGACUAUGACUGUGAAGACCAGGGUUCGAUUCCCAGCCAUGAAA
rnacentral:tRNA from 1 species